AAGUCGUAACAAGGUUUCCGUAGGUGAACCUGCGGAAGGAUCAUUACCUAGAGUUGCGGGCUCUGCCUGCCAUCUCUUACCCAUGUCUUUUGAGCUACCUUUCGUUUCCUCGGUGGGUUCGCCGCCGUACCUGGACAAAACCUUAAACCCAUUUUACUGUAAUUGAAAUCAGCGUCUGAAAAACUUAAUAGUUACAA
rnacentral:misc_RNA from 1 species